UGGAGAACUCUGCUUACCUGAGGCCUUCUGUGGAAUCUACACCAAAACAGAACAGGAAAGAUGCAUCUACUGCAGAGUAUUUUACUGUCCAGCGUUCUACAGGUUGUUGUCAGCAUUUGCAAAAAGCACAAGCAACUACAAAGAUCAAGAUUAGCAGAAAAUAAAAACAGGAGACUUUGUACAAAAGGAAAAUUCGGAGAUGAAUUCAGUGAUGAGUCUGCUAGAGUUUAAGGAGUCAAUUUAAGGAGGUUAAGAUGUUAGAGAAGCAAAGCAUAUGGGCAGUGCUGGAUGGACUUACACAUCUACCUUCUUUACAUCAAAACUGUCAUUACGUUAUCACUGAAAUGGUUGACAAGAACUGCCAAAACAUGGCCUAUGCUUGUGACAUG
rnacentral:lncRNA from 1 species